rnacentral:rRNA from 1 species
CCAGUACCGUGAGGGAAAGGUGAAAAGAACCCCUGUCAGGGGAGUGAAAGAGAAUCUGAAACCUGGUGCUUACAAGCUGUGGGAGCCGUACUUGUACGGUGACCAUGUGCCUUUUGCAUAAUGAGUCAGCGAGUUAAUCUGUACAGCAAGGUUAAGCGUAAGUGAAGCCGCAGCGAAAGCGAGUCCGAACAGGGCCACAGUUGUGCGGAUUAGACCCGAAACCGGGUGAUCUAUCCAUGAGCAGGUUGAAGCAAGGGUAAAGCCUUGUGGAGGACCGAACCAGUUCUGGCUGAAAACAGUUUGGAUGACUUGUGGAUAGGGGUGAAAGGCCAAUCAAACCCGGUGAUAGCUGGUUCUCCCCGAAAUAUAUUGAGGUAUAGCCUUGCGGAUUGUCUUAUGGAGGUAAAGCUCUGACAGAACUAGGGGUCCUAUCCGACUACCGAAUUCUUUCAAACUCUGAAUACCAUUAAGAUUUACCGCAGGAGUCAGACGGCGGGUGCUAAGGUUCGUCGUCAAAAGGGCAACAGCCCAGACCGACAGCUAAGGCCUCCAAAUGCAUGCUCAGUGGUUAAGGUGGUGGCGUUGUGCAGACACCCAGGACGUUGGCUUAGAAGCAGCCAUCGUUUAAAGAAAGCGUAAUAGCUCACUGGUUCAAUGGCGCUGCGCCGAAAAUGUAACGGGGCUAAGCAUGCUGCCGAAGCUUCGGAUUUGUCUCUGACAACUGGUAGGGGAGCGUUCUCUGCGGGCUGAAGCGGAACCGAAAGGUUUCGUGGACUGCAGAGAAGUGAUUAUGCUGACAUGAGUAACGAUAAAAUAUGUGAAAAACAUAUUCGCCGUAAAUCCAAGGUUUCCUGGGUAAAGGUAAUCUUCCCAGGGUUAGUCGGACCCUAAGGCCAGGCUGAAAGGCGUAGCUGAUGGGAAACGGGUUAAUAAUCCUGUACUUGUGCGAUUGUGCGAAGAAGGGACGCAGGAUGGUAGACAGGCCGGUUUUUGGAAUCCGGUGCAAGUGCGUAGGCGUGCUCCGCAGGCAAAUCCGCGGAGAUGAGCCGAGACACGAGUCCGUGGGCGUAAGCCCUGAAGCUGUUGAGCCACGGCUGCCAAGAAAAGCUUCUAAGUUUAGAUCGCGCGAACCGUACCGCAAACCAACUCAGGUGGAUGGGAUGAAUAAUCCAAGGCGCUCGAGAGAACUCAUGGCCAAGGAACUCGGCAAAUUGACCCCGUACCUUCGGAAUAAGGGGUGCUCCCCACGGUGAGACAAAUUCUUGUUCAGCCCCGGGGAGCCGCAGAGAAAUGGUGGUGGCGACUGUUUACUAAAAACAUAGGUCUGUGCGAAGUCCUACAGACGACGUAUACGGACUGACGCCUGCCCGGUGCCGGAAGGUUAAAAGGAGGAGUCAGCGCAAGCGAAGCUCCGAUUUGAAGCCCCGGUAAACGGCGGCCGUAACUAUAACGGUCCUAAGGUAGCGAAAUUCCUUGUCGGGCAAGUUCCGACCUGCACGAAUGGCGUAACGAUCUCCACGCUGUCUCGGCCAGAGACUCGGUGAAAUUGAAGUCGCGGUGAAAAUGCCGUGUACCCGCAGAAAGACGGAAAGACCCUGUGCACCUUUACUAUAGCUUGACAUUGGGUUUUGAACCUGCAUGUGUAGGAUAGGUGGGAGGCUGUGAAAGCUGUACGCCAGUAUGGCCGGAGCCACCCGUGAAAUACCACCCUUGUUUGUUCAGGACCCUAACUCGCAGCUGUAAUCCAGCGCGAAGACAGUGUCUGGUGGGUAGUUUGACUGGGGCGGUCGCCUCCUAAAGAGUAACGGAGGCAUGCAAAGGUUCCCUCAGGCUGAUUGGAAACCAGCCGUUGAGUGCAAGCGCAUAAGGGAGCUUGACUGCAAGAGAGACAUCUCGAACAGAUACGAAAGUAGGUGCUAGUGAUCCGGUGGUCCCGAAUGGAAGGGCCAUCGCUCAUUGGAUAAAAGGUACGCCGGGGAUAACAGGCUGAUCGCAUCCAAGAGUUCACAUCGACGAUGCGGUUUGGCACCUCGAUGUCGGCUCAUCACAUCC